rnacentral:rRNA from 1 species
GAUGAACGCUGGCGGCGUGCUUAACACAUGCAAGUCGAACGGAAAGGCCAGUGCUUGCACUGGUACUCGAGUGGCGAACGGGUGAGUAACACGUGGGUGAUCCGCCCUGCACUUCGGGAUAAGCCUGGGAAACUGGGUCUAAUACCGGAUAGGACAAUGGUUUGGAUGCCGUUGUGGAAAGUUUUUUCGGUGUGGGAUGAGCUCGCGGCCUAUCAGCUUGUUGGUGGGGUAAUGGCCUACCAAGGCGUCGACGGGUAGCCGGCCUGAGAGGGUGUACGGCCACAUUGGGACUGAGAUACGGCCCAGACUCCUACGGGAGGCAGCAGUGGGGAAUAUUGCACAAUGGGCGCAAGCCUGAUGCAGCGACGCCGCGUGGGGGAUGACGGCCUUCGGGUUGUAAACUCCUUUCGCUAGGGACGAAGCGUAUUUGUGACGGUACCUGGAGAAGAAGCACCGGCUAACUACGUG